AUUGAACGCUGGCGGCAGGCCUAACACAUGCAAGUCGAACGAGUGGCGGACGGGUGAGUAAUGUCUGGGAAACUGCCUGAUGGAGGGGGAUAACUACUGGCAACGGUAGCUAAUACCGCAUACCAUCGGAUGUUCCCCAAGGGGAUUAGCUAGUAGGUGGGGUAACGGCUCACCGAGGCGACGAUCCCUAGAUGGUCUGAUAGGAUGACCAGCCACACUGGAAAUGAGACACGGUCCAGACUCCUACGGGAGGCAGCAGUGGGGAAUAUUGCACAAUGGGCGCAAGCCUGAUGCAGCCAUGCCGCGUGUAUGAAGAAGGCCUUCGGGUUGUAAAGUACUUUCAUCGGGGAGGCGUUACCCGCAGAAGAAGCACCGGCUAACUCCGUGCCAGCAGCCGCGGUAAUUC
rnacentral:rRNA from 1 species